GUCGACGAUGAACCUCACUUGUGGGGGGAUUAGUGGCGAACGGGUGAGUAACACGUGAGUAACCUGCCCUUGACUCUGGGAUAAGCCUGGGAAACUGGGUCUAAUACCGGAUAUGACUGAUCAUCGCAUGGUGGUUGGUGGAAAGCUUUUGCGGUUUUGGAUGGACUCGCGGCCUAUCAGCUUGUUGGUGGGGUAAUGGCCUACCAAGGCGACGACGGGUAGCCGGCCUGAGAGGGUGACCGGCCACACUGGGACUGAGACACGGCCCAGACUCCUACGGGAGGCAGCAGUGGGGAAUAUUGCACAAUGGGCGGAAGCCUGAUGCAGCGACGCCGCGUGAGGGAUGACGGCCUUCGGGUUGUAAACCUCUUUCAGUAGGGAAGAAGCGUAAGUGACGGUACCUGCAGAAGAAGCGCCGGCUAACUACGUGCCAGCAGCCGCGGUAAUACGUAGGGCGCAAGCGUUAUCCGGAAUUAUUGGGCGUAAAGAGCUCCGUAGGCGGUUUGUCGCGUCUGCCGUGAAAGUCCGGGGCUCAACUCCGGAUCUGCGGUGGGUACGGGCAGACUAGAGUGAUGUAGGGGAGACUGGAAUUCCUGGUGUAGCGGUGAAAUGCGCAGAUAUCAGGAGGAACACCGAUGGCGAAGGCAGGUCUCUGGGCAUUAACUGACGCUGAGGAGCGAAAGCAUGGGGAGCGAACAGGAUUAGAUACCCUGGUAGUCCAUGCCGUAAACGUUGGGCACUAGGUGUGGGGGACAUUCCACGUUUUCCGCGCCGUAGCUAACGCAUUAAGUGCCCCGCCUGGGGAGUACGGCCGCAAGGCUAAAACUCAAAGGAAUUGACGGGGGCCCGCACAAGCGGCGGAGCAUGCGGAUUAAUUCGAUGCAACGCGAAGAACCUUACCAAGGCUUGACAUGAACCGGAAACGCCUGGAAACAGGUGCCCCACUUGUGGUCGGUUUACAGGUGGUGCAUGGUUGUCGUCAGCUCGUGUCGUGAGAUGUUGGGUUAAGUCCCGCAACGAGCGCAACCCUCGUUUUAUGUUGCCAGCACGUGAUGGUGGGGACUCAUAGGAGACUGCCGGGGUCAACUCGGAGGAAGGUGGGGACGACGUCAAAUCAUCAUGCCCCUUAUGUCUUGGGCUUCACGCAUGCUACAAUGGCCGGUACAAAGGGUUGCGAUACUGUGAGGUGGAGCUAAUCCCAAAAAGCCGGUCUCAGUUCGGAUUGGGGUCUGCAACUCGACCCCAUGAAGUCGGAGUCGCUAGUAAUCGCAGAUCAGCAACGCUGCGGUGAAUACGUUCCCGGGCCUUGUACACACCGCCCGUCAAGUCACGAAAGUUGGUAACACCCGAAGCCGGUGGCCUAAC
rnacentral:rRNA from 1 species